rnacentral:lncRNA from 1 species
UAAGCGUAGGUAAUUUCAAUUAAGGAGAGGUUUUAUAAGAAAUUUAGAGGGGUAUCAAAAGGUUAUGGGCUUUACUUCGACAUCGAGCCGAAGUUUAUUGUGACCCCCAUUAUAUAUUUUUCAAUAAUUUUCACACCACCACGACGAAGGAUAAUUUAAUAUAUAGAUUGAUACACUAUAAAAAAAAAGACAAAAAAAUUGUCUAGGUUGAUACGUAGGGUGUAUUUGAUACGCAGUGUUAGCCAUAUUGCAUUAUAGAGUAUUGUCUUAGGGUGCAUCGCAUUAAGUUGUAAUGCAAUUACAUGUUUAGUGUGGUAUGGACUAUGUUAUAUAAAUAAUAUUUUUUAUAUUAAUGGUCAAAUGAAAUUAAUAUUUUAGGGUUUUAAUAU